UACGUAGGGACCAAGCGUUGUUCGGAUUUACUGGGCGUAAAGGGCGCGUAGGCGGCUUGACAAGUCACUUGUGAAAUCUCCGGGCUUAACUCGGAACGGCCAAGUGAAACUGUCAUGCUAGAGUGCAGAAGGGGCACUCGGAAUUCUUGGUGUAGCGGUGAAAUGCGUAGAUAUCGAGAGGAACACCUGAGGUGAAGGCGGGUUGCUGGGCUGACACUGACGCUGAGGCGCGAAAGCCAGGGGAGCAAACGGG
rnacentral:rRNA from 1 species